rnacentral:rRNA from 1 species
CCUACGGGAGGCAGCAGUGGGGAAUUUUGGACAAUGGGCGAAAGCCUGAUCCAGCCAUGCCGCGUGCAGGAUGAAGGCCUUCGGGUUGUAAACUGCUUUUGUACGGAACGAAAAGGUCUUUUCUAAUAAAGAGGGCCCAUGACGGUACCGUAAGAAUAAGCACCGGCUAACUACGUGCCAGCAGCCGCGGUAAUACGUAGGGUGCAAGCGUUAAUCGGAAUUACUGGGCGUAAAGCGUGCGCAGGCGGUUAUAUAAGACAGUUGUGAAAUCCCCGGGCUCAACCUGGGAACUGCAUCUGUGACUGUAUAGCUAGAGUACGGUAGAGGGGGAUGGAAUUCCGCGUGUAGCAGUGAAAUGCGUAGAUAUGCGGAGGAACACCGAUGGCGAAGGCAAUCCCCUGGACCUGUACUGACGCUCAUGCACGAAAGCGUGGGGAGCAAACAGGAUUAGAUACCCUGGUAGUCCACGCCCUAAACGAUGUCAACUGGUUGUUGGGUCUUCACUGACUCAGUAACGAAGCUAACGCGUGAAGUUGACCGCCUGGGGAAGUCGGCCGCAAGGUUGAAAAUGAAGAGUAGAGNGNGNGAGNGCGAGACGACGACGAGGGAGGAGG